CCUACGGGAGGCAGCAGUAGGGAAUAUUGCUCAAUGGGGGAAACCCUGAAGCAGCAACGCCGCGUGGAGGAUGAAGGUUUUCGGAUUGUAAACUCCUUUUGUUAGAGACGAUAAAGACGGUAUCUAACGAAUAAGCACCGGCUAACUCCGUGCCAGCAGCCGCGGUAAUACGGAGGGUGCAAGCGUUACUCGGAAUCACUGGGCGUAAAGAGCGCGUAGGCGGGAAAGCAAGUCAGAUGUGAAAUCCUAUGGCUUAACCAUAAACCUGCAUUUGAAACUGUUAUUCUAGAGUAUGGGAGAGGUAAGUGGAAUUCUUGGUGUAGGGGUAAAAUGCGUAGAGAUACAGAGGAAUAC
rnacentral:rRNA from 1 species